rnacentral:rRNA from 1 species
AAGUCUAACCUGCCCACUGAAUAAAUUUAAAUGGCCGCAGUAUCUUAACUGUGCAAAGGUAGCAUAAUCAUUAGUCUUUUAAUUGAAGGCUGGAAUGAAUGGUUGGAUGAAAUAUUAACUGUUUCAUAAAAAUUAUUAAUAGAAUUUUAUUUUUUAGUCAAAAAGCUAAAAUAAUAUUAAAAGACGAGAAGACCCUAUAAAUCUUUAUAUUUAGAUAGUUUUAAUUAUUUAGAUAAUUUAAAUUAUAAUUAUUUUAAGUAUUUUAUUGGGGUGAUAUUAAAAUUUAAUAAACUUUUAAUUUAUAAAAUACAUAAAUUAAUGAAUUAUUGAUCCAUUUAUUAUGAUUAAAAAAUUAAGUUACUUUAGGGAUAACAGCGUAAUUUUUUUAGAGAGUUCAUAUUGAUAAAAA